rnacentral:rRNA from 1 species
UACAGAGGUCCCAAGCGUUGUUCGGAUUCACUGGGCGUAAAGGGUGCGUAGGUGGUGAGGUAAGUCGGAUGUGAAAUCUCCGGGCUCAACCCGGAAAUGGCAUUGGAAACUACCUUGCUGGAGGAUUUGAGGGGGGAUUGGAAUACUUGGUGCAGCAGUGAAAUGCGUAGAUAUCAAGUGGAACACCAGUGGCGAAGGCGAAUCCCUGGAAAAUACCUGACACUGAGGCACGAAAGCUAGGGGAGCAAACGGG